AGCAAACUAUAUAUAUUAUAAUCCUAUUGCAUUGCUUUCUUGGAACGUGCAGUGCAGCUCCUGAUCUGUUUAUGGUGAAAGGGAAGCAAUAAUAUAAUCUACGGAAACAACAGAUUUCCGUAGAAGGAAAUGCAGAAGAGAUCUAUGCAUAAAGCUCGCAUCUAUACUCUCUCAAUUGGGAAUGCAUGAAAAUUCUAAUAAGAUUGCAUUAACAUCAGAGCUGCAGCUAGAAAUGGAUGGUUUAGAAUGGCGCGCAGCAAACUAUAUACUCCGUAUAUAACAACAUUGACGACGCCUAUUGGUUUCUUGGAUCGUGCAGUGCAGCUUCAAUUCUGUUUAUGGUGAUAGGGACGCAAUUAAUAUAAUCCACGGAAACAACAACUGAUUUCCGUACAAGGAAAUGCAGAAGAGAUCGAUGCAUUAAGCUCGCAUCCGCACUCUCUCAGUUGGGAAUAUAAUUGAUCCAUGCAUGGUGUUGAACAUUUUAGCUCGGAUUUCGUUCAGCAGCGCAGCUCAUAUUGCUGGUAAAUCCAUCCAUCGAUCAGAUAAGAGGUGCAGCUAGCUAGCUAGCUAGCUAGGCAUGGAUGGUUUAGAACGGUGCGCAGCAAACUAUAUACCAUUGACCCCUAUUGGCUUCUUGGAACGUGCAGCUUUAGUUUACGCCCAUACCGUCGCAAUUAUUUACGCAAACCACAAAUUUUCGUGGAAGCAAUUGUACCAGAGAUGCAUCAAUCUCGCAUCUGCACUCUCUCAGUCCGGAAUCGGUCGUGGCAGCAUUGUAGCAGCAAUGGCACCUAAUAUUCCACCCCUGUAUGAGCUCAAUUUUGGUGUCCCAAUGACAGGUGCUGUCCUUUCUGCCCUUAACACAAAGCUUGACUCGCCCACUUUGUCGAAAAAACUAGCCCUAUUGAAACCCAAAACCAUUUUUGUUGACUAUGAAUACGUUGAGGUUGUCGUUGAAUCCUUAGACUUAGCAAAAAUAAGCCCACCACCGCUCCUAAUCUUGAUCUUGGAAGACACUAAGCUUGAUCAUCAUGAGAAUGGAGCAUAUGAUUCCAAGUUUCACAACAAGAUUUUUAAGAACGGAGAAUCUGGUUCCAAGAUUCAGGAUAAGUUUCUCGAGAACGGACAUUCUGAACGCAAGAGAUACGACAAGCUUCUCAAAAAGAAGGGGUUCAAUUUCAAGAUUUACUCUGAGUUUAUUGAGACGGGGAAUCCUGAUUUCAAGACUGUGUACCCAGACGACGAAUGUGACCCGAUAGCGAUCAAUUUCACUUCAGGCUCAACAGGGAACCCCAAGGGAGCAGUGUACAGCCACAGGGCAACUUAUCUGAACACCAUAGCACAAAUCUUCCGCACUGAAAUGGCCGGAAAAUCGCCGGUUUUUCUCUGGACGGUCGACAUGUUCCGGUGCAACGGGUGGUGCCUGCCGUGGACCAUGGCGGCUCUCGGCGGCACAAACAUCUGCAGCCGAGAUUCUUCCGGACAAGCAAUCUUGGACGCCAUUUCCCGCCACAAUGUCACACAUCUCUGUGGUCAACCCCUCAUUUUGACCAAAAUUGCCGAAACCAUAGAGAAAAAAAACACAAAUUUUCAAUUGCCUCCAAACAAAGUGGACGUAAUUGUCGCAGGUUUAUUACCUCAACCCGAAAUCCUAUCCAAAUUAGAAGCAAAAGGGUUCAAAAUAAGCUAUGCAUAUGGCAUGACCGAGGCUCUAGGUCCAAUUACAUCAAUCCCUUGGAAUUCCCGCGAGAAUUCGAAACAGAAGGUUCUAGAAGGCGAGAAUUCGAAGCAGAAGGUUCUAGAAGGGAUGCACAACAUCAUGGUACACGGCGCUGACGUGAAAGAUCCGGUGACCAUGAAAAGCGUGCCGGCGGACGGGGAAACCACCGGAGAAAUCAUGUUCAGAAGUAAUACUAUGAUGUUAGGGUACUACAAAAACAAACAAGGAACCCAAGAAGCCUUUGAGGGGGGGUGGUAUAGGACUAGGGACAUUGGGGUGAAACAUCCUAGUGGGUACAUAGAACUUAAGGAUAGGAGAGCUGAUGUGAUCAAACGUGGGACAGAGAUUAUUAGUAGCCUCGAAAUUGAGAGUGUUUUGGUUAGGCAUCCCGUGGUUUUGGAGGCUGCGGUUGUGGGGAAACCUGAUGAGGUUUUGGGGCAGACAGUUUGUGCUUUUGUGAAGUUCAAAGAAGGGAGAAGUGCAGAAGAGGGAGACAUUAUCAAGUUCUGUGAAGAGAAUUUGCCUCACCAUAUGGUCCCCCAGGCUGUCAUCUUUGGGGAUUUGCCACUUAAUUCCACUGGGAAGAUACAAAAAUUUGCCUUGAGAGAGAAGGCAAAAUGUCUUUGCAAGACGUUUAAUAAUGGCAAGUGUAACCAUUUCUAAUUGCAGAAUGGUCAGCACACUAGUGGUAGGGAACUGAUCAAAUGAGAUCAAACCACCAACCUCAUGCAUAAGGGACGAGGUGCUGAACCACCACACCAACCAGGUCUUGCUCCACUGCCUAACUCCAUAGAGUGUGCACUGGGCAGUGUAGACUGCAGCAGCAGCCAAAAGGGAUGGUGAACAUUCAAGCAUUUCAUACUCCACAAGGCACAGCUCUAUCAAGAAGAAUGACAGUAAUUCAAGCUGUAAAACAGUCCAACAUCAUAUCCCUCUCAGUUUCAUUAAUACAAUGCAGCAAAAUAAGGUAACACAAGUACAUAAUUAACAUGUUUAAAUCCUCAAACCUUCUUGUCAGAUUCAGCAGCCUUAAGGAAUCUUCUCAUAAAGACACAGGGAGUAGGAACUGACAAUUUAAACUGCAAUGUUUUAAGCAUCAAACUUUCCUGUACAGAAACUUAAUGAAUUAGUAACUUAAUUAGUAUAAAACCUUUGUUAGGAUUCAUGGAUUUAUUUGAUAUAUAUAUACUAACCAUAUCAAGAACUUCUUUCCUUG